AUGCUCGGAAAGCUGGGGCUUGUUUUGCGUGUUACCGGCCAAACAUGCUGGUACGAGUUCCUGUCGGUCUGCCACAUGAAAUUGGCAAUCUUGUUGAGGAGGCUGAUCUCCUCCGGCGCCGCCACCACGGCGCGGUCGCUGGGCAGCGAGAGCCCACGGUCAGCGGCGGCGACGGCGACGGCGAAGGCGGCCGCGCACGCGACGCCCAGCGCGGCAAUGGCUUGCCGCAUCCUCCUCCCCAUUCCUCGGACCCAGCCAAGCCAAGAAAGGCAACUUCCUGCACCGCUUUCCUACUUUUUUUCCCAACAAACGAAAGAAAGAGAGAAGAAGAUAAUCAGAGCUGGAGGGCAGGCUGAGCCUGAGAAAUCAUGGAAUUAA
rnacentral:rRNA from 1 species